AGUGAACGCUGGCGGCAGGCCUAACACAUGCAAGUCGAACGGCAGCACGGCAGUAGCAAUACUGUGGGUGGCGAGUGGCGGACGGGUGAGGAAUACAUCGGGAUCUACCCUGUUGUGGGGGAUAACGUAGGGAAACUUACGCUAAUACCGCAUAAGAACUGAGGUUGAAAGCGGCGGACCGCAAGGCGUCGCGCGAUUGGAUGAACCGAUGUCCGAUUAGUUAGUUGGCGGGGUAAAGGCCCACCAAGGCGACGAUCGGUAGCUGGUCUGAGAGGACGACCAGCCACACUGGAACUGAGACACGGUCCAGACUCCUACGGGAGGCAGCAGUGGGGAAUAUUGGACAAUGGGCGCAAGCCUGAUCCAGCCAUGCCGCGUGGGUGAAGAAGGCCUCGGUGUAAG
rnacentral:rRNA from 1 species